GGGGGCGAUCAUGGAUUCGACGCCAGUGCCAAAGCUCUUGGGAGCAUGCCGAGAGGCGGGUGACUCUCGUAAAUCAAUUGCUCGACUGGCUUAUAGUUGCCAACGACGAAAACUACGCCCUAGCCGCCUAAACUUACGCGACUAGCUCUCAGGCAGGCAAUGCCCAUGGCGCCGGCCAAUGAGAGUCGAUUUCAUGGGAUCGCUCGGUCACAGCCCGUAGUAGGCCGAGUUAAAUAUCGCUCGGGUUGGGCCUUGGAGCGUUCACUGUUUCCGGCGCCCGUAGAACGAGAAGUGAACUAAGCAUGUAGCGCCUCGGGACGAUGGACUGGCGGACGCGGGUUCGAUUCCCGCCGCCUCCACCA
rnacentral:tmRNA from 1 species